AGCGCAGGCGGGUCGGUAAGUCACUGGUGAAAUUCUCGGGCUCAACCCGAGGACUGCCAGUGAUACUGCUGAUCUUGAGUGCAGAAGAGGUUGAUGGAAUUCUUGGUGUAGCGGUGAAAUGCGUAGAUAUCAAGAAGAACACCGAUGGCGAAGGCAGUCAACUGGUCUGUAACUGACGCUCAUGCUCGAAAGCGUGGGGAUCAAACAGGAUUAGAUACCCUGGUAGUCCACGCCCUAAACGAUGGAUACUCGAUGUCGGCCCGCAAGGGUCGGUGUCUAAGCUAACGCAUUAAGUAUCCCACCUUGGAAGUACGAUCGCAAGGUUGAA
rnacentral:rRNA from 1 species